ensembl:lncRNA
GGCUGCCUAGAUCCUUGAAAGGGCUUUCCCAGCCCUCAUUAGUUCUAACUGGAGAGGUCUGUCCAUUCUCCCAAGCCGGCAGCUGAUCAGGGCUCAGAGGGUUGGGGCUUCGUCAGAGACUGUAAACUCUUUAGAUCUGCUUUUUUUUUUUUUUUUUGUGGCAGCAUCCAGCACUUGGCAGGGCACCCGGAAAGAGCAGAAAACCCAGGUUCUCCUCUUGGCUCUGCCUGGCUGAGCUCGACUGGCAUCUUUACAAAAGAGAGACACAGCAGUCCAAAGAGAGCCAGUGCCUGCCUUUUCUCCUCCUCUGCAGUUUCCACAUCCUCUUUCUCUAAGGACAAGCGCGGUGGCAGACUGAAUUGGCUAUGAUGCAUUUACCAGAAGGUGACAUCACAUACCCUGGGCAGUGGGAAAUCCAGGAGUGUGGACGACAUUAACCGCAGCAUCUUGGGUUUCCUUGGUGGUCCAGUGGUUAAGACUCUGCCUGCCAGUACAGAGGACAAGGGUUUGAUCCCCAGUCCAGGAAGAUUCCACGUACUUCAGAGCAACUAAGCCUGCGUGCCAAAAACCAGCUCACAUGCCCCAACUACUAAAGUUGCCCGCACACCCUUGGGGCCCAUGCCCCACAAAAGAGAAGCCAGCUCAAAGAGAAGCCCAUGUACCACGACCAGAAAGUAACACCCGCUUACCAGAACUAGAGGAAACCCACGUGCAGCAAUGAAGACCCAGAGCGGCCAAACAUAAAUCAAUAAAUUAAAAAGCGGCGUCUUCAUUCAGUACAUCCACUGACACAUCAUAGUUGCACAAUAAAAGUUCUCUGUAGCUAAUAUAGCUUAGAACCAAAUCCAUGGACACAGCCCUUGUGGGUCAGGAUUUCUCUUAAGGGAAGUGCAACUUCAGCUUGUUCAUCAGGAGGCAGACUUCAGAAGAGAAAGUAGGAAUACUCCACUGUAAGACCAAGGAGUAAUGCAAGGGAAAUUCUCGUGAGCCAACACAGGAAGAGCUAGCUCCUAACCUGGCAUUUUAUUUUCUAAUUGAGUUCUUUUUUAACGGAGGCUUUCUGAGCUUUUGGUAACAUUCUAUAUCUUGAUCCAUUUGUGAAAAUUCAUUGUGCUUUAUUAUUCAUAU